AGCUCCAAUAGCGUAUAUUAAAGUUGUUGCAGUUAAAAAGCUCGUAGUUGUAUUUGAGCGUAUGCUGUUUUCGGCGUCUGCAUUCAAAAGAGUGUAAUGACCCGUGCGGCUUCGCAAUUAACCAUUGGGUCGUGUCUGGUCUUAAUUGACUCGGAUGCGUUUUAUCUCGAUGGAUCUUUUACUGUGAGAAAAGUAGAGUGUUCAAGGCAGGCGUGUUUUGCAAUUGAAUAUGUUAGCAUGGAAUAAUAAGAUAGGACUUUCGGAUCUAUUUUGUUGGUUUCUAGUUUGGAAGUAAUGAUUGAUAGGGAUAGUUGGGGGUGCUAGUAUUCAGCGGCCAGAGGUGAAAUUCAUGGAUUCGCUGAAGACUAACUAAUGCGAAAGCAUUCACCAAGGAUGUCCUCUUUA
rnacentral:rRNA from 1 species